CACCGUUUGUGUACAACUGUAGAUCCGAAUUAGAGCUUCUUGGUCAUGCGUUUUCAGUAAACUGAAAAGGGCUGCAGGCUUCAGGCCGCGAGAGGCCCAGGUUACCGCCAGAAUAUUUAUUGGCCCCAAAGCCCCGCGUGUUUCGGACAGAAUGGUCCCUGCUUUGCACUGAGGACCUGGGGGUUGGAAGCGUUUUCUUUCUCAAUGAACUACCACAGUAAAUCUGUACUCCACAACUUAAAGGGCUCUCGUAUCUUUUCUGACCAGAAUUGGAUGCAAUGAUUGACUGUGACCUCACCAGAUCUUUAUCAAGGUUCAGCAUCUUUUCCGGUCCCAAUGCACUGCCGCCGAUGUUGGAAUUUGGGAUCUCGGGGUUUAUGCUCCCAUCCCAGAAUGCGAUUUUUGAAGUCCUGUUGGUCCCUCUGGAUUACCACACCGAGAGCCUGGAUGAAGACUUGGGACUGUGUGGGUUUGUACGUUUGGGUUGAGUCAGCUGAUGCGCAAAUGUGAGUUUUGGGUUCAUGUACGGGAUGGCCUUCCGGAGGAAGUACUGGGUGCGGGUAUCGUUACAGCAUUUAAAAGGCAAUUGGGUUUGAUUCCCCGUCAAGAAAUGAGGAUCCAUGGUUCCUGUAUAAACUGUUAAAAUGAACAAGAAUUCCUGACAUUAAGAACAUCAAAGAACUUGAGGAAGACCGUUUGGAAGGGUAGUAAUCAGCUGACGUGUGCAAUGCUCCAGUUUCACAGGAAGAACGAGGUGAGGCAGUGUAAACUGCAGAGUGACCAUGAAACAAUGGGAGAGGAACAAGGGAGCGGACAUAUGCUUCCUUCCUUUGCUCUAUCCAGACUCUGGGUUUGAAGUCUGAAGUGCGACAAUAUAAGCCAAGUGGGUGAAAUCCUUGCUUCCUGGGGGUCGGUUUCUUGCUGAGGCUUCAGUCACUCUCGUGGAAACGUGUCCAUGUAUUUCCCUCUGUAGGUGAAAAUAAGGUUCAGCUCCUGAGGGGGUGUGAAGGCAGUUUGACCAUCUCAAACUUCAAUCCCAUUUAUUGUGUCAUUUGAGAUUAAAAUAUUACAGCGAAAGUAUUAUUGAGAUGAAGACCUGAAACAUCAGAGCACACAAGGUUACAGUCCAAGCGCUGGAAACUGGGAUGAUGGGCCUCGUUUGUAAUUCAAAACCCGAUGAGUCGAUCAUUUUGGAGGAGAAUUUGCACUGAGAAACAAAGUCAACAUCUGUGUCAUUAAAAAACGAGAGAAAUAUUUCUGUUGUCAUGCUUGCUGGUCUAGUGGUUAGGAUUCGGUGCUUUGGUUAAAAAAAAAAGUGGCCUGGGUUUGAUUCCCAGUGAGUAAAUCAGAAUUUAUUGUUCCUGACAGUGACAACAGCAAAAAGCUGAGCAGACCUGAUGAGAAACUGCUCAAUGCCUCGGAUCAGGUAAUAUCCCUGAGAACAUCAGAGUUAAUGUCCCAGCCUUGUUAAAAAGGCGAAGGUGCCUUGACUCUGCUCACUUGGACAAUUCACCUUUCAUUCUCAUCUGAUUUCGCUUCCCCAAAAGUUCCCAAAGCCAAAACAUGGCUUUAUGUUUCAUCUCCUUUUCAUUCCCAGAAAACGGGUCAGUGAGUUUGGGAAACUGCAAGGGGCUUCUCAGCAGUUUGAGAUUAUUUCGGCUUCCUCUCCUCUGGUGACCCUGGUGUUUUCAGUGAUAUUUACUGACGAAAUACAGUGAAAGAAUCCCCGU